rnacentral:rRNA from 1 species
CAGUCGCCGCGGUAAUACGUAGGUGGCAAGCGUUGUCCGGAAUUAUUGGGCGUAAAGGGCUCGCAGGCGGUUUCUUAAGUCUGAUGUGAAAGCCCCCGGCUCAACCGGGGAGGGUCAUUGGAAACUGGGAAACUUGAGUGCAGAAGAGGAGAGUGGAAUUCCACGUGUAGCGGUGAAGUGCGUAGAGAUGUGGAGGAACACCAGUGGCGAAGGCGACUCUCUGGUCUGUAACUGACGCCGAGGAGCGAAAGCGUGGGGAGCGAACAGGAUUAGAUACCCGCGUAGUCCCUGUCUCUUAUAC